AUUGUCAGUAAAAAUGCUCCCAAGCUGAGGUGCAUAACAUUAAUUCAUUGGGCCUAGUUCUAUCCAUGAUCACAGCUAAAGAAAAAGAAAAAAAAAAUGUUAGUCAUUUAACUGUAAUUUGUAAAAUAAAAAUCAAUCAGCCUUGUUAUAUCUUCCAAUAAGGUUAUAUUACUGAAUUUUAGUAAAAUUUCAGUCAAACUUAUAAUAUAACCAGAUAUCUACCAGAAUCAAGCAAGUGACUUUAAACACAAUAGAGUGAUUUUAUGCUACAAAUUGAAGAUACCACGCUGAAUUAAAUGGUAAGUUCAAUCCAUAAAUGAAAUUAUAUCUUUGUUGGUAGAAAUAAACUUAGCUUCCAAAAUAAUCAAUCUUCCAAGCAUAUCAUGAAACAUAUUACCUCCUAAACCAAUAAAGGCAAAAUGAUAUUAAUAAAUAAUAAUGACUUCAUGAGUUUCAAUUCAGAACCAUUUCUCAAUUUUUAGCAAUGAAAUCAGACAUCUCACAUGGUGGACUAUACCUGUAUAACGAUAUAUUAAAUGACUUCAAGUUCUCCUGUCAAAGGUUGAGUAGGAAGCAAAGAUGAAAAGAGAAUCUUUUUUUGUGAUCAUUGUUAUUAAAGGCAGGCCUCAAGCUCAAGGCUCACCAGCCUCCAAGCCUCCAACCCUAACGCCUUUACAAGAAAAAUGCAAGCGACAUUCACCAGGCACUCGCCUUAUGCGCCUAAGCAUGUGCCUUGUUCCAAGUGCAAGGUUCUAAAAAGGCACGCCUUCUUUUUUUUCCACCUUUGGCAAGCAUUUCCAUUAGCAUAAAGCACUUCCACCUUCAGCAAGCACUUCCAUCUGUUGAUUUACUAGAAUCCAAUACUAACGCACUAGAAAUUUUUCAAAAUUAGUAUCGUUGGUAAUAACUAAUCAUCGAAAUCUUAUCAAACCACCACACUCAGACUUGCAAAUCUCUCAUAUUUCCAUGUAUAGCACUACCACUCUCUUAUUAUCU
rnacentral:misc_RNA from 1 species